rnacentral:rRNA from 1 species
UCCGUAGGCGGGCUAAUAAGUCAGGGGUGAAAUACCACAGCUCACCUGUGGAACUGCCUUUGAUACUGUUAGUCUUGAGUUAUAUGGAAGUAGAUAGAAUGUGUAGUGUAGCGGUGAAAUGCAUAGAUAUUACACAGAAUACCGAUUGCGAAGGCCGUCUACUACGUAUAUACUGACGCUAAUGGACGAAAGCGUGGGGAGCGAACAGGAUUAGAUACCCUGGUAGUCC